rnacentral:rRNA from 1 species
AUUGAACGCUGGCGGCAGGCUUAACACAUGCAAGUCGAGCGGGGUGAUGGUGCUUGCACUAUCACUUAGCGGCGGACGGGUGAGUAAUGCUUAGGAAUCUGCCUAUUAGUGGGGGACAACAUCUCGAAAGGGAUGCUAAUACCGCAUACGUCCUACGGGAGAAAGCAGGGGAUCACUUGUGACCUUGCGCUAAUAGAUGAGCCUAAGUCGGAUUAGCUAGUUGGUGGGGUAAAGGCCUACCAAGGCGACGAUCUGUAGCGGGUCUGAGAGGAUGAACCCGCACACUGGGACAGAGACACGGCCCAGAAUCCUACGGGAGGCAGCAGUGGGGAAUAUUGGACAAUGGGGGGAACCCUGAUCUAGCCAUGCCGCGUGUGUGAAGAAGGCCUUAUGGUUGUAAAGCACUUUAAGCGAGGAGGAGGCUCUUUUGGUUAAUACCCAAGAUGAGUGGACGUUACUCGCAGAAUAAGCACCGGCUAACUCUGUGCCAGCCGCCGCCGUAA